UACGUAGGGGGCAAGCGUUAUCCGGAUUUAUUGGGCGUAAAGAGCUCGUAGGCGGCCGUUCGCGUCGGAUGUGAAAGCUCAGGGCUCAACCCUGAGACGCCAUUCGAUACGGGACGGCUAGAGGUAGGUAGGGGAAAGUGGAAUUCCUGGUGUAGCGGUGAAAUGCGCAGAUAUCAGGAGGAACACCGGUGGCGAAGGCGGCUCUCGUGGGCCUUACCUGACGCUGAGGAGCGAAAGCUGGGGGAGCGAACAGG
rnacentral:rRNA from 1 species